UCACCAACAAUGGCGAAUCUUUUCCAAAUUUUUAAAAUUGGGAGCAUAUAUAACCACUCUUUGUCUCUCUCUCAUCUCAAAUUGCUCUCUGUAAAGACUCUCGGGUUCCAUUGAUAGUCUCAGUUGUUCUGGAAAGCAGAUCGACAUGGCGGCACCUCGAGGUGGUGGAGUGAUCCAUAUGAGGAAGCGCUGGUUCGUUGUGUUGUCAUCGUUGAUCCCAAGGCCCAACAGAGGAGAUCAGUUCAGUUUGAUGUCUGAUUAUGUAAAGAGUCUUGGCCUGGAAGAUGUGACCUUUCAAAGAUGAGCAUUAUCCAUAUGUAGCCGGAACCAAAGGCAAGGUAACACAAACACACAAGUGUGAUCUUUUUUUUUUUUGGUUUCUUCUCUUUAAUCAUAUAAAGUUUCUCUAUCAGACUUGUAGUGUUACUCUGUGAAUACUCUAUUUUAGCUGAUACAUAGCUUCUUUGACUCA